rnacentral:rRNA from 1 species
CAGGGAUUGCCCUAGUAACGGCGAGUGAAGCGGCAACAGCUCAAAUUUGAAAUCUGGCUCUCGGGCCCGAGUUGUAAUUUGUAGAGGAUACUUUUGAUGCGGUGCCUUCCGAGUUCCCUGGAACGGGACGCCAUAGAGGGUGAGAGCCCCGUCUGGUUGGAUGCCAAAUCUCUGUAAAGUUCCUUCAACGAGUCGAGUAGUUUGGGAAUGCUGCUCUAAAUGGGAGGUAUAUGUCUUCUAAAGCUAAAUACCGGCCAGAGACCGAUAGCGCACAAGUAGAGUGAUCGAAAGAUGAAAAGCACUUUGAAAAGAGAGUUAAAAAGUACGUGAAAUUGUUGAAAGGGAAGCGUUUAUGACCAGACUUGGGCUUGGUUAAUCAUCUGGGGUUCUCCCCAGUGCACUUUUCCAGUCCAGGCCAGCAUCAGUUUUCCCCGGGGGAUAAAGGCGGCGGGAAUGUGGCUCUCUUCGGGGAGUGUUAUAGCCCACCGUGUAAUACCCUGGGGGGGACUGAGGUUCGCGCAUCUGCAAGGAUGCUGGCGUAAUGGUCAUCAACGACCCGUCUUGAAACACGGACCAAGGAGUCGUCUUCGUAUGCGAGUGUUCGGGUGUCAAACCCCUACGCGUAAUGAAAGUGAACGCAGGUGAGAGCUUCGGCGCAUCAUCGACCGAUCCUGAUGUUCUCGGAUGGAUUUGAGUAAGAGCAUACGGGGCCGGACCCGAAAGAAGGUGAACUAUGCCUGUAUAGGGUGAAGCCAGAGGAAACUCU